rnacentral:rRNA from 1 species
UAGCGUAUAUUAAAGUUGUUGCAGUUAAAAAGCUCGUAGUUGAAUUUCGGGAUUAGUGCGCUGGUCAUGCCUUUGGUAUGUACUGGUGUUACUGAUUUCUACCUUCUGAAGAACCGUUAUGUCAUUUAUUUGGUGUGGUGGGCAAUCAGGACUGUUACUUUGAAAAAAUUAGAGUGUUUAAAGCAGGCA